UACGAAGGGGGCUAGCGUUGCUCGGAAUCACUGGGCGUAAAGGGUGCGUAGGCGGGUCUUUAAGUCAGGGGUGAAAUCCUGGAGCUCAACUCCAGAACUGCCUUUGAUACUGAAGAUCUUGAGUUCGGGAGAGGUGAGUGGAACUGCGAGUGUAGAGGUGAAAUUCGUAGAUAUUCGGAAGAACACCAGUGGCGAAGGCGGCUCACUGGACCGUUGUUGACGCUGAGGUGCGAAAGCGUGGGGAGCAAACAGG
rnacentral:rRNA from 1 species